rnacentral:rRNA from 1 species
AGAGUUUGAUCCUGGCUCAGGACGAACGCUGGCGGCGCGCCUAACACAUGCAAGUCGAACGGAGUCAAGAGGAGCUUGCUUUUCUUGACUUAGUGGCGAACGGGUGAGUAACGCGUGAGUAACCUGCCCUGGAGUGGGGGACAACAGUUGGAAACGACUGCUAAUACCGCAUAAGCCCACGAUCCGGCAUCGGAUUGAGGGAAAAGGAUUUAUUCGCUUCAGGAUGGACUCGCGUCCAAUUAGCUAGUUGGUGAGGUAACGGCCCACCAAGGCGACGAUUGGUAGCCGGACUGAGAGGUUGAACGGCCACAUUGGGACUGAGACACGGCCCAGACUCCUACGGGAGGCAGCAGUGGGGGAUAUUGCACAAUGGGGGAAACCCUGAUGCAGCGACGCCGCGUGGAGGAAGAAGGUUUUCGGAUUGUAAACUCCUGUCGUUAGGGACGAUAAUGACGGUACCUAACAAGAAAGCACCGGCUAACUACGUGCCAGCAGCCGCGGUAAAACGUAGGGUGCAAGCGUUGUCCGGAAUUACUGGGUGUAAAGGGAGCGCAGGCGGACCGGCAAGUUGGAAGUGAAAACUAUGGGCUCAACCCAUAAAUUGCUUUCAAAACUGCUGGCCUUGAGUAGUGCAGAGGUAGGUGGAAUUCCCGGUGUAGCGGUGGAAUGCGUAGAUAUCGGGAGGAACACCAGUGGCGAAGGCGACCUACUGGGCACCAACUGACGCUGAGGCUCGAAAGCAUGGGUAGCAAACAGGAUUAGAUACCCUGGUAGUCCAUGCCGUAAACGAUAAUUACUAGGUGUUGGAGGAUUGACCCCAUUCAGGCCGGCAGUUUAACACAAUAUGUAAUCCACCUGGGGAGUAGGCCCGCAAGGUUGAAACUCAAAGGAAUUGACGGGGGCCCGCACAAGCAGUGGAGUAUGUGGUUUAAUUCGAAGCAACGCGAAGAACCUUAUCAGGUCUUGACAUCCGAUGCAUAGUGCAGAGAUGCAUGAAGUCCUUCGGGACAUCGAGACAGGUGGUGCAUGGUUGUCGUCAGCUCGUGUCGUGAGAUGUUGGGUUAAGUCCCGCAACGAGCGCAACCCUUAUUGCCAGUUACUACGAAAGAGGACUCUGGCGAGACUGCCGUUGACAAAACGGAGGAAGGUGGGGAUGACGUCAAAUCAUCAUGCCCUUUAUGACCUGGGCUACACACGUACUACAAUGGCGUUUAACAAAGAGAAGCAAGACCGCGAGGUGGAGCAAAACUCAAAAACAACGUCUCAGUUCAGAUUGCAGGCUGCAACUCGCCUGCAUGAAGUCGGAAUUGCUAGUAAUCGCGGAUCAGCAUGCCGCGGUGAAUAAAUUCCCGGGUCUUGCACUCACCGCCCGUCA